CCGAACCAGACCCGAAUCCGAGGCAGAUGCAAAAUGCAGAACGGCCACAAUCUGGCCAAAACAAGUGCAACAGACAACCGGCAAAUCGGGCCAACAGCUGCCUGGCCGGCUUCCCCUCUGUCUCCCUGUCUCCCUGUCUCCCUGUCUUUCUGCCUUUUUUUUUUAUUGGCAAACUGACAACAAAAUCAUUGCUUGCCAUGUGCGUCAUCCAUCUUCCUGCACUGGAAACAAACUGGAAUUGUUUUAUAAGCUUGAUUUAAAUGUACAUAAAAAGCAAUAUUUGUUCUUACAAACUCCUACUAUAGUUGAUGAAUUAUUUAUUGUGCAACAUUGAAGCAACAUUGUUUCUUUAAAUAAAAAUUAUAUCAUUCCUU